GAUGAACGCUAGCUACAGGCUUAACACAUGCAAGUCGAGGGGAAACGCCAUUGAAGCUUGCUUCGAUGGUCGUCGACCGGCGCACGGGUGAGUAACGCGUAUCCAACCUGCCUCUGACCAAGGGAUAACCCGUCGAAAGUCGGCCUAAUACCUUAUGCAGUCGUCGGAAGUCAUCUGAUGACGACGAAAGAUUUCAUCGGUGAGAGAUGGGGAUGCGUCUGAUUAGCUUGUUGGCGGGGUAACGGCCCACCAAGGCAACGAUCAGUAGGGGUUCUGAGAGGAAGGUCCCCCACAUUGGAACUGAGACACGGUCCAAACUCCUACGGGAGGCGGCAGUGAGGAAUAUUGGUCAAUGGGCGAGAGCCUGAACCAGCCAAGUAGCGUGCAGGAUGACGGCCCUAUGGGUUGUAAACUGCUUUUAUGCGGGGAUAAAGUGAGGGACGUGUCCUUCAUUGCAGGUACCGCAUGAAUAAGGACCGGCUAAUUCCGUG
rnacentral:rRNA from 1 species